UCAACUGGAUAAGUUUUGUUU
rnacentral:piRNA from 1 species